rnacentral:rRNA from 1 species
AGAGUUUGAUCCUGGCUCAGAACGAACGUUAGCGGUGUGGAUUAGGCAUGCAAGUCGUGCGCGAGAGUCUCCUUCGGGAGGCGAGUAAAGCGGCGAAAGGGUGAGUAAUACAUAACCAACCUAUCCCUCAGAUCGGAAUAACAGGUGGAAACACCUGCUAAUGCCGAAUGGCCCACGCGGGAGGCAUCUCCUGUUUGGUAAACGGUGGCUUCGGCUGCUGCUGGGGGAGGGGGUUAUGCGCUAUCAGCUUGUUGGUGGGGUAAUGGCCCACCAAGGCAAUGACGGCUAGCCGGUCUGAGAGGACGAUCGGCCACACUGGGACUGAGACACUGCCCAGACUCCUACGGGAGGCAGCAGUGGGGAAUAUUGGACAAUGGGCGCAAGCCUGAUCCAGCAAUGCCGCGUGUGUGAAGAAGGCCUGCGGGUUGUAAAGCACUUUCAGUAGAGAAGAAAAGCAGAGGAUUAAUACUCCUUUGUCUUGACGUUACCUACAGAAGAAGCACCGGCUAACUCCGUGCCAGCAGCCGCGGUAAUACGGAGGGGGUUAGCGUUGUUCGGAAUUACUGGGCGUAAAGCGUACGUAGGCGGAUUAGAAAGUUAGGGGUGAAAUCCCAGGGCUCAACCCUGGAACUGCCUCUAAAACUACUAGUCUAGAGUUCGAGAGAGGUGAGUGGAACUCCGAGUGUAGAGGUGAAAUUCGUAGAUAUUCGGAAGAACACCAGUGGCGAAGGCGGCUCACUGGCUCGAUACUGACGCUGAGGUACGAAAGUGUGGGGAGCAAACAGGAUUAGAUACCCUGGUAGUCCACACCGUAAACGAUGAAUGCCAGUCGUCGGGCAGUAUACUGUUCGGUGACACACCUAACGGAUUAAGCAUUCCGCCUGGGGAGUACGGUCGCAAGAUUAAAACUCAAAGGAAUUGACGG